CUUUCCACCGCUUAUGUCUUCUAGCCUUAUCUCCUCUCUAUUCCUACGUGAAGAAGCCAAACUCGCUCACAUCGCUCUCUCUCCCUGCCUGCUUGCACUCGCCCUCAGCUCCCAGGCAUGGAGCUCGCCCAAGCUCCGUCUCCCAGCGCUCUCCCUCACAGCCGCGCUCUCCUCCACCUGCAACUCGCCCCUAUCUCCUCCUCUCCCCAUGGCGGCUCCCCCUGGAUCCCUCCCUGCGCAGACCCUCUCCCGUGGCUGGUGUCGUCCCUUCCUGCAGCCGGCCGUCGUUUCCCCUCACUGCUCUUGGAGUCAGUCGUCCCCGCCGUGAUGCCCUACCCCAACAGCAAACAGGUCGUCACAUCUGCUCCCCAUGCUCAGCUCGCCCCUGCUCCCUAACGGCAUCACCUGCAGCAGCCGCGUCUUCUCGCUCCCUUUCCCAAUCUCGCACCAGCGCCUGUCCUCCAGCCGCCCCCAUGGCUCCCCUGGCCCUCACCUCUCACGUCAGCACUAGCCCAGUUGUGGUACAGCAGUAGCAUGCUGGAUCUCUGUAGUCCUGAUGAGGAGAAGAAAGCUUUAGUGUGGCGCUUGUCAAGUGUUUGAUAAAAAGGCUGAACCUGGAAUCGUUGUUGUGUCCUCCCUGUCAGAGUCAUCUGGGUCCAUGGUAAGUUGUUUUACUCAUUUUGUUCACUACCUUAAUGAAUAGAUAUAUUGGUCCAUGAUUCUCUUGUCCAUUGCCUAGGUGUGCGGUGGUGAUAGCUUCUAGGUCUUUGUUGUUGUUUGUGUCAAUUCCAUGGCAUCGUAAGGGAAGGCACUCCCUCUUCCCUUUUAUGUUCAUGUCGUUGUUAGUGUAUUAGAUAAUUGAUGAAAUAUCGUAGUUGGGUGCAAAAACAUGAUUGUGGUAGUUUGACUUUUGUGAUUUGUAUUCUUGCAAAGGGACUUGACUUUGAAAUAUUGCAAAUAUGUAUAAGGUAUUCUUGGCAUGAUUUUAGCCAUCUCUUAGUUGUUACUGUAUUGCAUGGAGGAGCUGUAGCUAUAGUUUAGAAUUAAAUUAAUCAACGUCAUUUGAUAGAGAACCUGGUAGGUUGUGGGGUUGUAAUUUUAAUACUUGCUCAGUUGGUCCCAUCCUGGUAGCGAUAGAAACACUAGUGAGAUGUUUAUGAUCUCAAUACGUCUCAUUUGACUAUGUUUUCCUUUCUUUGUUGUAUAAUUCUUUUUUCUCUGAGAAUCUCAUAUGUUCAUGAUCUGCAGCUGAGCAAGUUUGUUUGUUCCUCUAUGUUUUAACGAUGCAAGAUAUAUUAAUAAUUUGCUAGCAGGAAUCCUGCUGUUGAUAGUGUCUAGAUUCAAAUUGGCUCCUUCGGGUUCAUAUUCAUGCAGUGUAGUUCAUAUACGUGUUGAUAUGUGGUCCAUGGUAGUGUUGGGCAAUCUGGAUGCAAGCUGGAAUAAUGUGAUUGUUUCUGUUUUUGUAAUUCUCUCAUAUCUCCAAAUUGCUAUGUUCACUCAUCUUGUUGUGACGGUGGUUUGGUUAGAUUAAUUUCACAAUAGGAUAGAUGUUGCCUGCCUUACAUAGUGGUUUAGGCAUUGAGGGUGACAAUAGUAUAUUAACAUCUAAUAUGUAUGAUUUUCAUAUUGCACUAUCUACACAGACUAUACGUUGGCUGUUUUGUAGCUUUGUUCUUCCUAAAACUUCUUAUAGCGUUGUCCUUCUCAUGGCAUAUUUAGUGCUUGCUAUUUGGACUGCAUGACUAGUUUUAGUUAUGCCACUAGUUCAAUGAAGUAAACCAUGUUUUCUGUAGAAAUGUUAUAUAGGAAAGUUGUAGAUAACUUCUUUAUCUUAAUUGUGUAAAAGUUUCAUGACCAUAGGCUUAGCAGUUUAGAAGUUAUGAUUUUUCCAAGUCCAGUUUCUAAAUCUGUCUAAAUUCUGUACUGAUUUCGAAAAUUGCCUUGUUUGACUAAAUUAAACUGAGAAUCAGCCCUUAGUAAUUAUAGAAUAAUUGUAGUAAUUUUUUUAAGCUUUCCAAUAAAUUUUGGAUCACCCAUUUUGGUGGUCUAGAAGUCAAGUUAUAGCUGUUUGAAAUAUGAAGUCUGAAUCUGUCCAAAUCUGGACAGAAGAGACUGUUUGUAUUAACUGACUUAGAUACACAUUAAAUUAACCUGGGAUGAUUAUAAAUGAAUUAUAGACAAUUAUAUUAGCUUUCUAAAAAGUCUAGGAUCGCCUGAUUUGGAUUUCUGAAACUCCAGUUAUGGAUUUUUGAAGUAAGUAGUCGAAUUCUGUCCAAAUCUGGACAUAAUUAAAGUUUAGCACUGUUUGACCUUUUAAACUGUCGAAUCUCAUUAUGAUGAUAAUACCAAAGUUGUAGAGGACUUUAUAAGCUUUCCAAAAAGUCUUAGUUUACUAUUUUUGGAUGCAUAUUUUGUGAGUUAUGAAUAAAACAAUUGACUACUGUGCUGCUGUCCAGAAAAUCUGCACACGUUAAACUGAUUACUUAGAAUCAUUCUUGCUUGGCUAGAUAGGAUUAAUUAGUUCUUGGUUCUUGAUUGGUGAAGUCUUGAAGUAGCUAACCUCAAGUGAACAUGUGUCUCAUGUUUAAUGUGUUUAGUUAUUGUUACAUAAUGUUUGGAUUAGGUCCGAUUACCUCAAAGUUCAUGAUUGUAUAAAGUCAGAAGUAUCUAGUGUUUAUGCAUAUAAGUGUUUUAAACCUUUAAAUUAAGAUAAAUACUAUACUAUAAAAUUCUAUGCUUGUUAAUAAUGAGUUGUUCCUUAGUACUAAGAGUGGUGUUAAUCAUUCGGUAGGAUAUUCUAGUUCAUGAGGUUGGAGUUAUAUGUAGCCUUUUUGAUGCUUGAGUUCGAUCCGUUUAAAUGAAAAAAAUGUAAUUGUGAUACAUAGUGAUAUGUCAACAUAUAGUAAUUGUUUUUAAAUAUUGUGGUACAUCAGUGUUAUAUUUAUUCUAAAUAUAUUAGGAUUUGUAUAUUGCUAAUGUUACUUGAUGAUGUGUUUAGGUCCAAUUGACUAGAACGUCAUGUCUGAUGUAGAGUUAAAUAUAUCUAGUUGUUACACCUAAGAAUUGUGAUGUCUUGCUUUAAGUCUGUAUCCUCCUUAGUAUAACUUAUCUAUCUUGUGCUAUUUAUGCUCCUAUUCACUCAUAUGCAUUAUGCAUAUCAUCUAGGUACGUUAAUUAAUCACGUGAUGUGGAGCACAAGAGCUGGAUUAAUCAUAAGACGAUGCUGAUGGACGAAGCUAAAGUGGAUGAAUCAAUCAAGUGCCAGGAUGGAAGAUGCUCACCAAGUGGUCGUCAUUUAACAACACUAACGUAGUGUUAUCCCAGGCAAGCCCCGGUGCAUUUGCCACCUCCUUGUUGUUUUAAAACUUUUAUCACUUAUAUGCUGCAUUAGGUGAUAGGAGUUGAGUGAUGAAACACUUGAUACAUUGCCAUUCCUUGGAAUUUGAUUAUCCUCCUUGAUACCUGUUUUAUAAAAAGAACUAAUGAGGCUUAGCCCUGCCUAGAGAAUUAAAAUUUGUUUCUUUUUAAAAGAAUGAUGUGUGACACUGGGUAUGGGUUUGUUUUAUGAAAAAGGACUUGUAAUGUUGAGCGCAUCAUCUGCAGUGAUGAAUUCAUCAUUCAAGUAUGGUACCUCUGUCAGGUACAUGGUUUGGGUGUUAAAUAAUAAGAUGAGACCAGACGUUGAGCAGGAAAGGUCGCCCGUCUGUGUCGCUUAAGGACCGUUCCGAUUGUUGGUCUGCUGGUCUAGGACCCUUUAACUGGCCACAUGCCUCAUCAUGGGUAAGCUUAGCCUCGGUCGGACCAAUACCAGAACAGCUCGCACGCACUGGGAGUGGAGCGAUGGCGAGAGUAGCUUGUACCCUCCGUGGCAAGAGACUGGAAGGUGGGGUGCUGUACUCUCGGAAACAUGGCGGGCACCAUGGCGAGAGUAACGUGUACCAACCAGGCCAAUGGCUGGACGGUGGAGUACUGUGCUCUCGGGUCGCGUGAACCCGUUCUGGUCUUGAGAAACCUGUGGGCGAGUUGACAUAUGCAAGGGUUAAGUGCUACAUAUGUCGUGUGGUUGGAGAUCCUCAGCUGAGUAUUAAUCGAUUCGGAUCGCCGUUACUUCUCGGAUAUGAAGACUGGAUCACUGCCCUGCAUCGUAGAUAACAAGUGAAACUAAAGUUGAUAAAAGGAAGCUAGUGUAGGACAAGUGAAUGCUCUAGAUUAGGCAAAUCUAGAUUCAGGAAAAGUACUUAACUUGUGAAGUAAAAUUUUGGCAUAAGGAUCCACUACUAGUAAGCUCUUUUGCAAAAUGAGUCUAUGAAAUUUGAUAAGCUUUACCUUGAUUCCCAAUAAACCAGCAUACCCUUGAGAGUCUUUUCUUUAGUCGGGUAAGUCUUGCUGAGUAAUUGCGUACUCAGGGUUUUAUUCCCUGUUGUUUUUCAGGUUAUAAUUUUGUUCUGUUGUGGAUGCUGCUAAGUGCCGGUGGGCUCGGCCUUCUUAUAUAGGUGUAUCCCAUCUUUAGCUUCUUUAUUGAGGAUUGUCACUUAAGCUAGCAUGUAUUUUAAAACCUAUAAAUAUUUUAUACAUUUUAAAUUGUAAUUCUUUUGAAUCACUUUCUUUUGUAAUCACUCCGAUAAUUGUAUAAUGUAAACUUAUUGUAACAUGUAAUCAUUUUGUAAUAAAGAAUUUAUUUCCGCUGCAAAUGUUGGUGUGUGAUUUGUGUUUACUUAAUCCUGCGAUCUUGGCGGUAAGUCGUUUAUCCGGGGUCCUCGGGGCACUCGGACAGAUCCUGUUAAGUUGUUUGGUGCACACGCAUAGCUGUCUGAGGUCUUUGAGACAAGGACAGGUGCAUGUGGGCCCGAUAACUUGGGAGGUUCUGCGACAGCUGGUAUUGGAGCUUGAUUAAGUAUGAUACAGUCACAUACGUACUUUAAAAACAAAGUUUUGGUUUUGAAAAAACCUAUUUUCGACUAAACACAUUGUUUGGCUUUGAAAAUCAGUUUUGAAAAACUAUAAUGCUAGCGACAUCCUCUGUUAAGCCCUAAAUUAAGGACUACUAGGUGGCUUAGUUCAGAAUACUAACUCAUAACCUGGGAAGGGUAACGCAUACAUGUGUAAUGUUAUUUUUGAGGCCAUUCAGUUUUGAAUGGAUCGACGCUCAAGGUAAGGUGAGAUGUGAGAGCAUGACCGAACAAACGUCGGUCUAGGGGAGAGUAUAAAAAGCGCUUGAUUAUAUACAUGUUACACAUAUGUAUAUAUGAAGGCUGCGAUGUGGAGUAUUUACUUUUCCGGGAUUCAGUACCCCAUGGAUGUGUAUGGCUAUACAGAUAUGGGAAUACUGAAAAGUGUAAUGUACCACAAUGGGCUGCCCUGUGGUUAAAGUGUGGCAGCGGCGCCUAUGCGUGGCUCGACGCUUAAUGAUGAGCUGGCCUCCAUAUAGCAAUAUAUGGAGUAUAAACUGUGAUAAACUGUCAUGUGUGAAUUGCAUCAUUGGGAAUUGGGCUGUGAUGGAAUUUUCUGCAGGUACACUAACUUCGAACUCGUAUGUGUAGCUGACGACUAGCAAUAUAUCGAGAGAGACGUAGGUAUGCCACCGAUAUAGAACGAUAUUGCCACAUUAUGUUGGCAAAAUUCGUGAGAACUAAUAGGACGAGCAUGCAUCCUGAUUAUUGCAUUGUGUUUGUUGUUUGUGCACAAAUAUGCUUCUCUCACCCUUAUUCUAAUAAUUGGUGAUUGUGAACGAACAUGCUUUUCGAACAUGCUUUUCUCAUCUUUAUUCCGAUAAUAAAUAAUUGGAAAAUAUGUGACGCAUUACUAUCCUAUAAGCAAAUUUCUAGUCUUGUUUGUUGGGUCCUUUAGACAUGUAUUUAUGUGGCAUAUGGUUCUUCUUAGUUUGACCGCUAGUCCAACUUGUGUUUGUUCUGGUGUGUUUGUGCCGGUAGAAUGUUGGUGGUAUGUUUGUGUAAACUAAAAAUUUGGCCAUGUCCUCAUCUAGGAGCCAUGACCCAAAUCGAUGUUAAUUCCCUGAAAUUUUUCCCCAGCUUCCAAACGUGGACGAGUCUGAAUUUUUCCAUCAUUACUUUGUGAUCAAGGUCAUAUAAAUAGAUGUUUAGGUAAUCCCCUUGUUGGACAUAAGAUGCACUCAAACUUAAAGAUAAGGAUCUCGGGUCUGUGAUCCUGACAAUUCACUUGUAGCUCUCUUAUGGUCAUAUUUUCAUCCUAAACCAUACCCUUGUUUGGUUGGUGCAAGCUGAUGUUUCUAUUCUGCUUUGCCUCUCCAUGAGAAUUACAUUGUUGCUUUCUCAAUAUAAUCUAGGAAAGGAAUGCCCAAUAAAUUUUCUUGAAUUUAAUGCCUUUGAUUUCCUCAUAUCUCUCGAAGGCAUACCAAUUUAAUCUUCUGAUCGUUUUCCCCUCUAUAUCUAAUCAGACCCUAAUCGUUGACUUGAUAAUCUCUGCGAUGGACAUAGAAAUAUGCUCGGGGCUGAAUUAACAGUCUCCCAUUAUACUCCUUUCAUCAAGUUUAGGUUAUGGCCAUGCCAUGUUCACUUCAUCGGGCCAUGAUCUAUUGGCUCUCUACUUGUAGCCAUUUUGACUGGGGGAGUCUCUUUUGUAUAUAGUCACCCUUGCUUAGUCUAUCUGUGCCAUGCGAGAUUUCUUAUUGGUUAUGUCAGAUAAUGGUGUUAUGACUAAAACUGGUGGUGCCGUGACGAAAUCGAGGGCCUUCUGUGGGUGCGCACACAUGGUUGUGCUACUCGGCACGCGCUGGUAUCACAGUUAGUAGUUGUAAUCCAUUAUGAGACUAUGUCAAUGCGUUAUCUUGGCACAAUCUAUUUUUGCUACGUGAGAUUGUUAUUGGUGUCAGUUCGGUAGUGGUGUCACGAUUAAGGACUUAUGGUGCCGCAGCGAAACUGAGAGCCUCCUUUGAAUGCGCACACAGGGAUGUGCUACUCGUCGGAUGCUGGUAUCAAGGUCUCUAGUCAUGAUCCAUUGUGGAACUACACUGAUGUGUGAUCUUCCGUGGACUCCUCCCUUGAAACAAUUUCUAUGUUGUUUGUCAAGUGAUCAAGCAACAUCUAUCAUCUCUAUUGGAUCAAACGGAUAUACCACUUUCAUGUGUGGUCACAUGUCUUUUGACUCAAGUGGUGACUGCACACAUACAAGUUCCCUUUGCAUCCUUUAUUGUAAAGGUGAAGCCUUGAAGCUUUUUAGUGUUGGGAGACAACCUCUUGAUAUGAUGUUCUCCACCUGGAACUACCUUAUGCUAUCACUGGUAUGGACAGGAGUUACAUGUUUCUCUACUCUUAAAAGUCUUUCGCUCCGAAUCUCGGGACGAGAUUCUUUUAAGGGGGAAGGGUUGUAACACCCCAGGUGUUUAUCGUCUGCUCGACCACUAGUGCGGACGUUAACACGUGAUAGUUGUGAAUGUAAAGGUCACUAAUUUUUAAUCAACCUCGUUUAUCACGAUUUUGAUAUCGUGUCUAUCUCCAUCUGUCUAAAUUGACCUAAUUUAUUUUGUAAAAUUCAGACUUUGGUAAUUUUCGGAACAUCGAAUCCAGUAUCGUUUGGGUUGAGCCAUCGACGUCUUGCCCAAACUCUAAUCUUUGAAAUCGAAUCCGGUUUCUUAAACUUCGUUUAAAAUUAUGGAUUAAUGGAACAUUAAUUUGGAAUCUCGACUCACUCUUGCGAUUUUGGUCCAAGCAAAUAUUAUUAGAACUCGACGACAACAAUAUUGAUGCAAAAAUUAAAUCAGACCGAGAUUAGAGCCGAUAUUGAGUACUUGUAAUUAAUUUGUUUCCCUGUUCAGACUGCGAAUGAAUUACCAGAUUUCAGACUUAAAAUAUCUGCAUUUUUUUUCCUUUUGUUAAGUGUUUGGAGAAACAAAAAUCUGAAUCCUCCUCAUCCUUUCCACCGCUUAUGUCUUCUAGCCUUAUCUCCUCUCUAUUCCUACGUGAAGAAGCCAAACUCGCUCACAUCGCUCUCUCUCCCUGCCUGCUUGCACUCGCCCUCAGCUCCCAGGCAUGGAGCUCGCCCAAGCUCCGUCUCCCAGCGCUCUCCCUCACAGCCGCGCUCUCCUCCACCUGCAACUCGCCCCUAUCUCCUCCUCUCCCCAUGGCGGCUCCCCCUGGAUCCCUCCCUGCGCAGACCCUCUCCCGUGGCUGGUGUCGUCCCUUCCUGCAGCCGGCCGUCGUUUCCCCUCACUGCUCUUGGAGUCAGUCGUCCCCGCCGUGAUGCCCUACCCCAACAGCAAACAGGUCGUCACAUCUGCUCCCCAUGCUCAGCUCGCCCCUGCUCCCUAACGGCAUCACCUGCAGCAGCCGCGUCUUCUCGCUCCCUUUCCCAAUCUCGCACCAGCGCCUGUCCUCCAGCCGCCCCCAUGGCUCCCCUGGCCCUCACCUCUCACGUCAGCACUAGCCCAGUUGUGGUACAGCAGUAGCAUGCUGGAUCUCUGUAGUCCUGAUGAGGAGAAGAAAGCUUUAGUGUGGCGCUUGUCAAGUGUUUGAUAAAAAGGCUGAACCUGGAAUCGUUGUUGUGUCCUCCCUGUCAGAGUCAUCUGGGUCCAUGGUAAGUUGUUUUACUCAUUUUGUUCACUACCUUAAUGAAUAGAUAUAUUGGUCCAUGAUUCUCUUGUCCAUUGCCUAGGUGUGCGGUGGUGAUAGCUUCUAGGUCUUUGUUGUUGUUUGUGUCAAUUCCAUGGCAUCGUAAGGGAAGGCACUCCCUCUUCCCUUUUAUGUUCAUGUCGUUGUUAGUGUAUUAGAUAAUUGAUGAAAUAUCGUAGUUGGGUGCAAAAACAUGAUUGUGGUAGUUUGACUUUUGUGAUUUGUAUUCUUGCAAAGGGACUUGACUUUGAAAUAUUGCAAAUAUGUAUAAGGUAUUCUUGGCAUGAUUUUAGCCAUCUCUUAGUUGUUACUGUAUUGCAUGGAGGAGCUGUAGCUAUAGUUUAGAAUUAAAUUAAUCAACGUCAUUUGAUAGAGAACCUGGUAGGUUGUGGGGUUGUAAUUUUAAUACUUGCUCAGUUGGUCCCAUCCUGGUAGCGAUAGAAACACUAGUGAGAUGUUUAUGAUCUCAAUACGUCUCAUUUGACUAUGUUUUCCUUUCUUUGUUGUAUAAUUCUUUUUUCUCUGAGAAUCUCAUAUGUUCAUGAUCUGCAGCUGAGCAAGUUUGUUUGUUCCUCUAUGUUUUAACGAUGCAAGAUAUAUUAAUAAUUUGCUAGCAGGAAUCCUGCUGUUGAUAGUGUCUAGAUUCAAAUUGGCUCCUUCGGGUUCAUAUUCAUGCAGUGUAGUUCAUAUACGUGUUGAUAUGUGGUCCAUGGUAGUGUUGGGCAAUCUGGAUGCAAGCUGGAAUAAUGUGAUUGUUUCUGUUUUUGUAAUUCUCUCAUAUCUCCAAAUUGCUAUGUUCACUCAUCUUGUUGUGACGGUGGUUUGGUUAGAUUAAUUUCACAAUAGGAUAGAUGUUGCCUGCCUUACAUAGUGGUUUAGGCAUUGAGGGUGACAAUAGUAUAUUAACAUCUAAUAUGUAUGAUUUUCAUAUUGCACUAUCUACACAGACUAUACGUUGGCUGUUUUGUAGCUUUGUUCUUCCUAAAACUUCUUAUAGCGUUGUCCUUCUCAUGGCAUAUUUAGUGCUUGCUAUUUGGACUGCAUGACUAGUUUUAGUUAUGCCACUAGUUCAAUGAAGUAAACCAUGUUUUCUGUAGAAAUGUUAUAUAGGAAAGUUGUAGAUAACUUCUUUAUCUUAAUUGUGUAAAAGUUUCAUGACCAUAGGCUUAGCAGUUUAGAAGUUAUGAUUUUUCCAAGUCCAGUUUCUAAAUCUGUCUAAAUUCUGUACUGAUUUCGAAAAUUGCCUUGUUUGACUAAAUUAAACUGAGAAUCAGCCCUUAGUAAUUAUAGAAUAAUUGUAGUAAUUUUCUUAAGCUUUCCAAUAAAUUUUGGAUCACCCAUUUUGGUGGUCUAGAAGUCAAGUUAUAGCUGUUUGAAAUAUGAAGUCUGAAUCUGUCCAAAUCUGGACAGAAGAGACUGUUUGUAUUAACUGACUUAGAUACACAUUAAAUUAACCUGGGAUGAUUAUAAAUGAAUUAUAGACAAUUCUAUUAGCUUUCUAAAAAGUCUAGGAUCGCCUGAUUUGGAUUUCUGAAACUCCAGUUAUGGAUUUUUGAAGUAAGUAGUCGAAUUCUGUCCAAAUCUGGACAUAAUUAAAGUUUAGCACUGUUUGACCUUUUAAACUGUCGAAUCUCAUUAUGAUGAUAAUACCAAAGUUGUAGAGGACUUUAUAAGCUUUCCAAAAAGUCUUAGUUUACUAUUUUUGGAUGCAUAUUUUGUGAGUUAUGAAUAAAACAAUUGACUACUGUGCUGCUGUCCAGAAAAUCUGCACACGUUAAACUGAUUACUUAGAAUCAUUCUUGCUUGGCUAGAUAGGAUUAAUUAGUUCUUGGUUCUUGAUUGGUGAAGUCUUGAAGUAGCUAACCUCAAGUGAACAUGUGUCUCAUGUUUAAUGUGUUUAGUUAUUGUUACAUAAUGUUUGGAUUAGGUCCGAUUACCUCAAAGUUCAUGAUUGUAUAAAGUCAGAAGUAUCUAGUGUUUAUGCAUAUAAGUGUUUUAAACCUUUAAAUUAAGAUAAAUACUAUACUAUAAAAUUCUAUGCUUGUUAAUAAUGAGUUGUUCCUUAGUACUAAGAGUGGUGUUAAUCAUUCGGUAGGAUAUUCUAGUUCAUGAGGUUGGAGUUAUAUGUAGCCUUUUUGAUGCUUGAGUUCGAUCCGUUUAAAUGAAAAAAAUGUAAUUGUGAUACAUAGUGAUAUGUCAACAUAUAGUAAUUGUUUUUAAAUAUUGUGGUACAUCAGUGUUAUAUUUAUUCUAAAUAUAUUAGGAUUUGUAUAUUGCUAAUGUUACUUGAUGAUGUGUUUAGGUCCAAUUGACUAGAACGUCAUGUCUGAUGUAGAGUUAAAUAUAUCUAGUUGUUACACCUAAGAAUUGUGAUGUCUUGCUUUAAGUCUGUAUCCUCCUUAGUAUAACUUAUCUAUCUUGUGCUAUUUAUGCUCCUAUUCACUCAUAUGCAUUAUGCAUAUCAUCUAGGUACGUUAAUUAAUCACGUGAUGUGGAGCACAAGAGCUGGAUUAAUCAUAAGACGAUGCUGAUGGACGAAGCUAAAGUGGAUGAAUCAAUCAAGUGCCAGGAUGGAAGAUGCUCACCAAGUGGUCGUCAUUUAACAACACUAACGUAGUGUUAUCCCAGGCAAGCCCCGGUGCAUUUGCCACCUCCUUGUUGUUUUAAAACUUUUAUCACUUAUAUGCUGCAUUAGGUGAUAGGAGUUGAGUGAUGAAACACUUGAUACAUUGCCAUUCCUUGGAAUUUGAUUAUCCUCCUUGAUACCUGUUUUAUAAAAAGAACUAAUGAGGCUUAGCCCUGCCUAGAGAAUUAAAAUUUGUUUCUUUUUAAAAGAAUGAUGUGUGACACUGGGUAUGGGUUUGUUUUAUGAAAAAGGACUUGUAAUGUUGAGCGCAUCAUCUGCAGUGAUGAAUUCAUCAUUCAAGUAUGGUACCUCUGUCAGGUACAUGGUUUGGGUGUUAAAUAAUAAGAUGAGACCAGACGUUGAGCAGGAAAGGUCGCCCGUCUGUGUCGCUUAAGGACCGUUCCGAUUGUUGGCCUGCUGGUCUAGGACCCUUUAACUGGCCACAUGCCUCAUCAUGGGUAAGCUUAGCCUCGGUCGGACCAAUACCAGAACAGCUCGCACGCACUGGGAGUGGAGCGAUGGCGAGAGUAGCUUGUACCCUCCGUGGCAAGAGACUGGAAGGUGGGGUGCUGUACUCUCGGAAACAUGGCGGGCACCAUGGCGAGAGUAACGUGUACCAACCAGGCCAAUGGCUGGACGGUGGAGUAUUGUGCUCUCGGGUCGCGUGAACCCGUUCUGGUCUUGAGAAACCUGUGGGCGAGUUGACAUAUGCAAGGGUUAAGUGCUACAUAUGUCGUGUGGUUGGAGAUCCUCAGCUGAGUAUUAAUCGAUUCGGAUCGCCGUUACUUCUCGGAUAUGAAGACUGGAUCACUGCCCUGCAUCGUAGAUAACAAGUGAAACUAAAGUUGAUAAAAGGAAGCUAGUGUAGGACAAGUGAAUGCUCUAGAUUAGGCAAAUCUAGAUUCAGGAAAAGUACUUAACUUGUGAAGUAAAAUUUUGGCAUAAGGAUCCACUACUAGUAAGCUCUUUUGCAAAAUGAGUCUAUGAAAUUUGAUAAGCAUUACCUUGAUUCCCAAUAAACCAGCAUACCCUUGAGAGUCUUUUCUUUAGUCGGGUAAGUCUUGCUGAGUAAUUGCGUACUCAGGGUUUUAUUCCCUGUUGUUUUUCAGGUUAUAAUUUUGUUCUGUUGUGGAUGCUGCUAAGUGCCGGUGGGCUCGGCCUUCUUAUAUAGGUGUAUCCCAUCUUUAGCUUCUUUAUUGAGGAUUGUCACUUAAGCUAGCAUGUAUUUUAAAACCUAUAAAUAUUUUAUACAUUUUAAAUUGUAAUUCUUUUGAAUCACUUUCUUUUGUAAUCACUCCGAUAAUUGUAUAAUGUAAACUUAUUGUAACAUGUAAUCAUUUUGUAAUAAAGAAUUUAUUUCCGCUGCAAAUGUUGGUGUGUGAUUUGUGUUUACUUAAUCCUGCGAUCUUGGCGGUAAGUCGUUUAUCCGGGGUCCUCGGGGCACUCGGACAGAUCCUGUUAAGUUGUUUGGUGCACACGCAUAGCUGUCUGAGGUCUUUGAGACAAGGACAGGUGCAUGUGGGCCCGAUAACUUGGGAGGUUCUGCGACAGCUUCUGUAAUGUAGACAUUCUCACAAUAAUUAUAAACUUUUAUAAUGAUACACAGUGAAAAUGACUCAACUCGAAUCCAUUGGUUUUUUCUAUAGGGUUGUGCAGGUGCAAUGUCUACUAGCAGCUAGCUCACGCGUGGAAAUGAAACACGCGGCAGAUGCUCCUGACGCGCACGCUCGAUCGUGCCGUG
rnacentral:lncRNA from 1 species